UACUGAAGUAAUCAAAUUGAUAGAGAAUUUUUAAUUCUUAUAUAGGAAGUGUCCUCUCAGUAG
rnacentral:tRNA from 1 species